UUGGAGGGCAAGUCUGGUGCCAGCAGCCGCGGUAAUUCCAGCUCCAAUAGCGUAUAUUAAAGUUGUUGCAGUUAAAAAGCUCGUAGUUGAAUUUCGGAAUCCAUCCGUCGGUCGGGCCUCACGGUCCGCACUGGUGUGAUGGAUUCCUACCUUCUGAAUAACCAGCAUGCCAUUAAUUUGGUGCGUUGGGGAAGCAGGACUGUUACCUUGAAAAAAUUAGAGUGCUUAAAGCAGGCUAGUGCCUGAAUACAUUAGCAUGGAAUAAUGAAAUAGGACGGCAUGGUUCUAUUUUGUUGGUUUCUAGGAUCACCGUAAUGAUUAAUAGGGAUAGUUGGGGCAUUAGUAUUCAAUUGUCAGAGGUGAAAUUCUUGGAUUUAUUGAAGACUAACUUCUGCGAAAGCAUUUGCCAAGGAUGUUUUCAUUAAUCAAGAACGAAAGUUAGGGGAUCGAAGACGAUCAGAUACCGUCGUAGUCUUAACCAUAAACUAUGCCGACUAGGGAUCGGACGAUGUUAAUUUUUUAAUGACUCGUUCGGCGCCUUACGGGAAAC
rnacentral:rRNA from 1 species